GGGUUUCAACUUUCUCCUGAACCUUGAGGAUCUUUGUUGCCAUCCAGAUUCUGAGUAAUUUCAGCCAUUUCAUUCUGGUCAAGAAUCAUUGCUGGGGAGCUAGUGUGAUCACUUGGGAUUAAGAAGACAUUCUGACUUUUAGAGUUGCCAGAGUUCUUGUACUGGUUACUUCUCAUCAGAGUGGAUUCAUGUUCCAUUAACUGUGGUGAAAUUUGAGUAUAGUCAGUUGGCUUUGUUUCUGGAUGUUUUCAGAGGGCCACAGCUUUGUGCAGGGUCUUUGUGGCUGAGUUCUUGUCCUUGGUUUGACCCUUCCUGGUGAAGACCAGGAUGGAUGGGGGUCUCAUGGGG
rnacentral:lncRNA from 1 species